GCGCGAGUUCAUUUUCUCCCGCUGGAGUGGUUCGGCGUGGCGUGAUGGCGGGUGAGGCAUUAACUCUGGCUGGAUCCAGUGCAAUCCUUCGCGGAGUUUUGUUUCUAAGGGGAUGCGGGCCCGAAGUGAGGACGGGGGAUGGGGAGGGAAGAGAAGAGAGAGAGAGAGAAAGUGAAUUGGCUCCGAUGGCUCCGUCUGCCUCUUCGUUAUUUUUUACGGUUCGAAGAGUUUCGCUUCUAGGAGCUGGAAACCUCGGCCACGCGGGCGUUUUCUGAUGGUGGCAUGAUGCGUUCGGGGUGACAGAUCUCGAUUGCAAAGAUCCCGACGGUCAUUAGACGGCAGGAGUCAGAGACGGAAUGGCCUUUGCUGCUGCUUCGUAGUCGCCCUGGAACGCGCAGCAUUAUCAUACAACAUGGAAACAUCUCAAGUCUCUGUGGAUUGGAAGACAUAACUCCAUCAGCUUGCAUGCAUGAGGUUGCAUUUAUUUGUCAUGGGAGUCAACCCAGGCAGGAAUGCAGGACUUAACUUCAUUGUAAGCUCUAAUCCCAAGAAAAUCCUUUUGAAGAAAGGGGUGUUAGUGAUGCAUCUCUUCUGAUCUACAUUCCAAGAACGAUAUCAGCAUUUAAGGGUAAUAAAAGCAGUCCAAACCACCUCUGAAAUUUUUCCCUGGAAGCAGAGUUCCAUGUAUACCUGCUGGGAAUGGGAGAGACAAGAUUAUACCUGGAUGGAAUCAUAAAUAGAUGGUUUGAGAGUCGUCCCCCCACCCCACCCCCCGCAAUUUCUUGUCUAUGGAUGUAUAAGUAGCAGCAUCCACAGGGAGAUUAAAACAGGCAAGGGGAUGUCCACAUUACCCAUCAACACAUCAACGUGUACAAAAGGUGCAGAGGUUCAAUUGUAUGCUACAACCAGCCACCAGCCAUCUGAUUUGACAAGCUACAUUCACCCACCCCAGACAAUAAUGCCUGCUAUUCUACAAUUCCCAGAAUCCAAUGACCAAUACAUCAACAGAGCAUCAGGUCGAGAUACACUUGGCCACCUUCUUUUGAUCCUUAGUUGGGGGCACAAGCUGUAUGAAUGCAAGUCUACCUUGCCCCACUACUAUUUAAUCUACAAGACGUUCCACGGAACAUAUUUAACUCACUGUUCACAAGUUUUAAAAAGUUGCAAGGUGAUUGAAUCUGAAUUUGUACACCCCAGGAUGCUAAACCUUAUCCUUUAUACUGCAGUCCUUAAGGACUCAAGCUGCAACUUUUAUUGAGAGAGGGAUUUUUGGUUAAGGGCAAUAGGGCCCUUAAUACAAAAAGUAUUAACCACCUUUUCCUGCUGUCUUAAUCAUGGACCUUUAUGCAGUUCUUCUUGACAACUUUGAGAUGUGAAUAAUGCUGACCGGGAAAUUCUGGGAAUUGUCAUCCACUCAGCUUAAAUUUGCCAAGGUUGAGAAACACUGCCCCUAUGACUUCUCUUUUGAGAGAAAACUACAUCCAUAUGCAGACACAGAUGAUGACAGACUUCAUCUUUAAUACAAAGAGCAAUUUAAAUCUUUAAUGUAGUAUCUGAUGCAUAGUAGGAGUGGAAGUCCACUGUG